GAGUUCUAUGAAAGGAUAAAAGGUUAGCAGUGCCCUUCAUAAGGAUGGAAGAGGCCCUCUCGGGCCUUACAACACGCAUAAAUAAGGUUAAGGCAUUGCCACCCACUUUGUGGCAUCUAACCACAGUUUUGA